CAGUGAGCGUUAUUCCCGUAGAGCCCGAAGAAAUGCCUCGGCUUCGGAUGAAGAUGAGCGCAUGUCAGUGGGUAGCCGUGGAAGCCUGAGGUCUCAUUUGGAUUAUGCCAGCACCUACCCAGUGGCUGGAUUAGAGAGUGAGAGGACCAAAAAGAAGAACUACUCCAAAGCA